UACGUAGGGUGCGAGCGUUAAUCGGAAUUACUGGGCGUAAAGCGUGCGCAGGCGGUGAGCUGUGUCCGAUGUGAAAGCCCCGGGCUUAACCUGGGGAAUGGCAUUGGAAACUGGCUCGGCUGGAGUGUGGCAGAGGGGGGUGGAAUUCCGCGGUGUAGCAGUGAAAUGCGUAGAGAUGCGGAGGAACACCGAUGGCGAAGGCAGCCCCCUGGGCUAACACUGACGCCUCAGGCACGAAAGCGUGGGGAGCAAACAGG
rnacentral:rRNA from 1 species